GGGGGGGGGGGGGGUCAUGGAUCUUGGUGGUGAGUUAAGGCCGCCUCUCACCAUCAAAUAAUUUGAUCAAACAGUUUGAGCAAACUCCGGAAGUACGUCAAAGUGACGUCACAAUUGCAGUUUUUUUGAAAUUCUAAAAAUCUGUGCUCUCACUAUCAGUCUAGUUUGAUCAAAUUUUUUGUAUUGAGUUGUCUAACUUGUUUGUACUUUAUUUAAAAUUAAAAUUUUUCAUUAUUAUCCACAAUGAACACUCAGGAUGUGACGUCACUAACUGUCACUUUCAGUUUGCUCAAACCAAUUGGAUCAAAUUAUUUGAUGGUGGGACGCGGCCUUAAGGGAAUCUUUGCUCCAGUCCAAAUUGUAAAAUAUUUAUAAAAAUCAAAAUAUUUGAAAAUAAUUCAACAUAUUUUCACAGAUUUUUUAAAUAGGAGCAUAGGACGGAAUUUUAUCAUAAAAGUGGGAAUUUUUAAGGUACGUUGAGGGAAAAAGCUUACUCCUCGACAGCUGGCAACACGGGAAAAGUAACCUGCCAUCCUGUCAAGCGGUGAUAAUUUGUGCUUAGGUAUGUCCUAUCCUAUGUUGAUAUUUUUCUUUGAUUUUUUUACAACAUUUACCGUAUAAUUCUCCGAGACUAUUACUUUAAUUACUAAGCUGAAGCUUGUUUUCUUCAGUUUUUCAUAGACCCACCUGCUUGUGGUGAUUAGGUACAGAUUGGCAUUCUUUUUGCUUUGGUGAUAUUGAGAGCUGAGACAAAACUGAGCAUCGGAAUCUGAAGCUAACGGGUUUAAUGUAAGUUCCAAUAAAUAAUUUUAGACAAUAGAUUGUAUUUUAGUUGAGUGAUUACUGGAUAAAUAGAUAUAUAAAAUGGUA